rnacentral:rRNA from 1 species
UACGGAGGGAGCAAGCGUUACUCGGAAUUAUUGGGCGUAAAGGGCGCGUAGGCGAUUUGUUAAGUCUUGUGUGAAGGUCCCGAGCUUAACUCGGGAAGUGCACAAGAAACUGUUGAAUUUGAGUUCCGGAGAGGAAGGCAGAAUUCCCGGUGUAGCGGUGAAAUGCGUAGAUAUCGGGAGGAAUACCAGUGGCGAAGGCGGCCUUCUGGACGGAUACUGACGCUGAGGCGCGAAAGCCAGGGGAGCAAACGGG